ensembl:misc_RNA Metazoa_SRP Metazoan signal recognition particle RNA
GCUGGGUGUGGUGGUGCACACCUGUAAUCCUGGCUACUUGGAGGCUGAGGCAUGAGAAUCACUUGAACCCAGGAGGUGGAGGUUGCAGUGAGCCGAAAUCAUGCCACUUCAUUCCAGCCUGGGCAACAGAGUGAGACUCUGUCUCAA